rnacentral:rRNA from 1 species
GGGUCAGUAGGUUGGUCGUGCCACCGGUACGUACUGGUCUCACUGACUCCUCCCUCCUGAAGAACCGUAAUACCAUUAAUUUGGUGUUGCGGGGAAACAGGACUGCUACUUUGAAAAAAUUAGAGUGUUUAAAGCAAGCUAACGCUUGAAUACAUUAGCAUGGAAUAAUGAAAUAGGACGAUCGAUCCUAUUUUGUUGGUUUCUAGGAUUGACGUA